GCGAAGAACCUUACCAGGUCUUGACAUACUCGUGCUAUUCCUAGAGAUAGGAAGUUCCUUCGGGACACGGGAUACAGGUGGUGCAUGGUUGUCGUCAGCUCGUGUCGUGAGAUGUUGGGUUAAGUCCCGCAACGAGCGCAACCCCUAUUGUUAGUUGCCAUCAUUAAGUUGGGCACUCUAACGAGACUACCGGUGAUAAACCGGAGGAAGGUGGGGAUGACGUCAAAUCAUCAUGCCCCUUAUGACCUGGGCUACACACGUGCUACAAUGGAUGGUACAACGAGUCGCGAGACAGUGAUGUUUAGCUAAUCUCUUAAAACCAUUCUCAGUUCGGAUUGUAGGCUGCAACUCGCCUACAUGAAGUCGGAAUCGCUAGUAAUCGCGGAUCAGCACGCCGCGGUGAAUACGUUCCCGGGUCUUGUAC
rnacentral:rRNA from 1 species